AGCGGCGCACGGGUGAGUAACGCGUAUGCACCUACUUUUACAGGGGAAUAGCCCAGAGAAAUUUGGAUUAAUGCCCCAUGGCACUGUUAUAUCGCAUGGUAUUGCAGUUAAAGAUUUAUCGGUAAAAGAUGGGCAUGCGUGACAUUAGUUUGUUGGCGGGGUAACGGCCCACCAAGACUACGAUGUCUAGGGGUUCUGAGAGGAUGAUCCCCCACACUGGUACUGAGACACGGACCAGACUCCUACGGGAGGCAGCAGUGAGGAAUAUUGGUCAAUGGGCGCAAGCCUGAACCAGCCAUCCCGCGUGAAGGAUGACGGCCCUAUGGGUUGUAAACUUCUUUUAUGUGCCAAGAAAAAACGAUACGUGUAUCGGACUGACGGUAGCACAUGAAUAAGCAUCGGCUAACUCCGUGCCAGCAGCCGCGGUAAUACGGAGGAUGCGAGCGUUAUCCGGAUUCAUUGGGUUUAAAGGGUGCGUAGGCGGUUUCUUAAGUCAGUGGUGAAAUCCUGCGGCUCAACCGUAGAACUGCCAUUGAAACUGAUAAACUUGAAUUUAAUUGAGGUAGGCGGAAUGGUGUUGUGUAGCGGUGAAAUGCUUAGAUAUAACACAGAACACCGAUUGCGAAGGCAGCUUACCAAGUUAACAUUGACGCUGAGGCACGAAAGCGUGGGGAGCGAACAGGAUUAGAUACCCUGGUAGUCCACGCCGUAAACGAUGUUCACUCGCUGUAUGCGAUACACAGUAUGCGGCCAAGCGAAAGCAUUAA
rnacentral:rRNA from 1 species